GGUCGCGUAGCUCAGCUGGAUAGAGUACGUGCCUUCUAAGCAUGUGGUCGUGGGUUCGAGUCCCGCCGCGAUCGCCA
rnacentral:tRNA from 4 species